rnacentral:lncRNA from 1 species
AAAGAAAUCACCACUUUCAACCUAUUAUUAUAUACAUCAAUUACCAUCGUCGAUUUGCGCCAACAGAGGAAGGGAGAGAGGUGGUAGGCACAGUGGACCACCGACGGAGGGCGGCGGCUUACAACGCUGAGGACGUCGUCAUCGUUUUCCUCGGUCACUUGAAAACAGAUCUGCCGGUUGUGGCUUCUAGAACAAAGGCAACGUCAUACCGCCGACAAUAGCAGCGACGGAGAUAGCGAUUCUUUGUCAAGGAAUGGGCGGUGAUGAAGGUUCAACAGCACGGCCCGAGACCUGGUUGCGCGGUCGAUAUGUCAAGGAAUGGGCGGAUUGACUUUCUAACGAACUCGGCUAGUGUUCCGGUAAUUCAAUUCAGGUUCACAUGUCUCAUCGCAAGAUAAUCUCAGUGUAAAUAUCAUAAUUAAAACCUAAAAAUCAUGUUUAUGGAGAUUUUCUUUGAGAUCAAAGUUAUAUGAAUUUUUCGAUACAUUUUGUGUGCGACUAUCUAAAAGAAAAUUUGACUAUUGGUCAAUUGUAUAGUUUGAAUAUGAAAAUUCAAAACCCGGUUACAACUUAG